rnacentral:Y_RNA from 1 species
GGCUUGAUCGAUGGUAGUGGGUUAUCGGAACUUAUUAACAUUAGUGUCACUAAAGUUGGCAUAAUACCCCCCACUGCUAAAUUUGACUGGUUUAAA